UAGGGAAUCUUCCGCAAUGGACGCAAGUCUGACGGAGCAACGCCGCGUGAGUGAAGAAGGAUUUCGGUUCGUAAAACUCUGUUGUUAGAGAAGAACAGCGCAUAGAGUAACUGUUAUGCGUGUGACGGUAUCUAACCAGAAAGCCACGGCUAACUACGUGCCAGCAGCCGCGGUAAUACGUAGGUGGCAAGCGUUGUCCGGAUUUAUUGGGCGUAAAGCGAGCGCAGGCGGUCAAUUAAGUCUGAUGUGAAAGCCCCCGGCUCAACCGGGGAGGGUCAUUGGAAACUGGUUGACUUGAGUGCAGAAGAGGAGAGUGGAAUUCCAUGUGUAGCGGUGAAAUGCGUAGAUAUAUGGAGGAACACCAGUGGCGAGGGCGACUCUCUAGUCUGUAACUGACGCUGAGGCUCGAAAGCGUGGGUAGCAAACAGG
rnacentral:rRNA from 1 species